GGGGGGGGAUAACGAUUCGAAAGGGUCGCUAAUACCGCAUACGUCCUACGGGAGAAAGCAGGGGACCUUCGGGCUUUGCGCUAUCAGAUGAGCCCAGGUCGGAUUAGCUAGUAGGUGGGGUAAAGGCUCACCUAGGCGACGAUCCGUAGCUGGUCUGAGAGGAUGAUCAGCCACACUGGAACUGAGACACGGUCCAGACUCCUACGGGAGGCAGCAGUGGGGAGUAUUGGACAAUGGGCGAAAGCCUGAUCCAGCCAUGCCGCGUGUGUGAAGAAGGCCUUCGGGUUGUAAAGCACUUUAAGCGGGGAGGAAGGGCUUCUGGCUAAUAUCCAGGAGCAUUGACGUUACCCGCAGAAUAAGCACCGGCUAACUCUGUGCCAGCAGCCGCGGUAAUACAGAGGGUGCAAGCGUUAAUCGGAAUUACUGGGCGUAAAGCGCGCGUAGGCGGUUUGUUAAGUCGGAUGUGAAAUCCCCGGGCUCAACCUGGGCACUGCAUCCGAUACUGGCUGACUAGAGUGUGGGAGAGGAAGGUAGAAUUCCAGGUGUAGCGGUGAAAUGCGUAGAGAUCUGGAGGAAUACCGAUGGCGAAGGCAGCCUUCUGGCCUGACACUGACGCUGAGGUGCGAAAGCAUGGGGAGCAAACAGGAUUAGAUACCCUGGUAGUCCAUGCCGUAAACGAUGUCAACUAGCCGUUGGGGACCUUGAGUCUUUAGUGGCGCAGCUAACGCGAUAAGUUGACCGCCUGGGGAGUACGGCCGCAAGGUUAAAACUCAAAUGAAUUGACGGGGGCCCGCACAAGCGGUGGAGUAUGUGGUUUAAUUCGAUGCAACGCGAAGAACCUUACCUGGCCUUGACAUAUCCGGAACCCUGCAGAGAUGCGGGGGUGCCUUCGGGAAUCGGAGUACAGGUGCUGCAUGGCUGUCGUCAGCUCGUGUCGUGAGAUGUUGGGUUAAGUCCCGCAACGAGCGCAACCCUUGUCCUUAGUUGCCAGCACGUAAUGGUGGGAACUCUAGGGAGACUGCCGGUGACAAACCGGAGGAAGGCGGGGACGACGUCAAGUCAUCAUGGCCCUUACGGCCAGGGCUACACACGUACUACAAUGGUCGGUACAAAGGGUUGCUAAGCCGCGAGGCCUCGCUAAUCUCAAAAAACCGAUCGUAGUCCAGAUUGGAGUCUGCAACUCGACUCCAUGAAGUCGGAAUCGCUAGUAAUCGCGGAUCAGAAUGCCGCGGUGGAUACGUUCCCGGGCCUUGUACACACCGCCCGUCACACCAUGGGAGUCUAUUGCACCAGAAGUAGCUAGCUUAACCUUCGGGAGGGCGGUUACCACGGUGUGGUCGAUGACUGGGGUGAAGUCGAAACAAGGUA
rnacentral:rRNA from 1 species